UCCAUUGUUACGGGAUGACAUGCUAAAGCAAGGUUAUUUGAUAUGUUCUUUGUGGCCUUCAGGUCUCGGAUGGCAUCCCAAAGAAGUUUUAAUGUUGGAUACCACAUUAGUUCUGAAGCUACAUUAGUUUCGAUUGAGCUGUAGAGCCACCCGAGUAGCAUUUGAUCUUAGGCAAACUAAUCUUCGAAGUCGGGGUUUACUGCUAUUUCUACUUCGGAGCUCCCUUUCACCACUUUUUUUGUGUAUUCAGGUGGACUUGGUUUGGCUCCUGUAAUGAAGCCUUCAAGUUUCUUCCAUCGAAUAAUUGAGAGAACCAUGUUUUUCCAAAAAAAGAAAGUUGUCAUGGCUGAGCUUCAAUGUACACACACAGGCCAUUGCGUUGUUGGGCAAUGCUUGAAUUCUUUGAGGUGUUGGAUUGAAGGUAGAGGAGUUGCUGUUUUCUCCGACCAUAUCAGUGGCUCUGAUACCAAGUUAAGAAAAUUAGCAAACUAUUCUUUAAGUCAAUCAAGCUUGACACUUCA